UAAAAGGCUAUGAGCUGGGCAGGGUGGUAUACACAUAUAAUUCUAGCAGUCAGAGACAGGAGGGUCUCUGAUCUGGAAGCCAGCCUGGUCUACACAGCAAGCUGAACCUACCUUAAAACAGGCAAAAUACAGGGACCUUGUCUUCUGAGUGUAUGUGUGUGCAGUGCCCAUGGAGAACAGAAGAGGGCGCCUGUUCUGAUUCUCCUGGAACUGGAGUUCAGACAUUUGUGAAACCACCACUGGGUGCUGGGAAUCAAACCCAGGUCCUCUAGAAGAGCAGCCAGUGCUCUUAACUGCUGAGCCAUCUCUCCAGCUCCAAGUAAGGUUUCUUAUAUAUAUUAUAAUAAUGUUUACAAAGAAAAAAGGCUUGGAAAACAAGAACUUUGUAUUUCUCUUUUACUAAUGUGACACUUAAAACUUGUGCUUAGAUUUUGUUUUCAUUUCUUUUAUGUUUUCCCAUUGGAAAAGCCUUUGCUCAUUGGAUAGUUAUUGCCAUAACCAUAGGAGAAAGCAUUCUGUUCAGAGAAUCAUUCCUGUUUGGGAUGUCCCUACUCAAUUAUAUAAUGAUUGUGAAACUCAAUUUAAGGGACAAAUAUUUAAAGCAGUUUAAAAUUUGAUCUAUUAGGUAAACAACUAACUCAAAUUGGCAAAACUAACUGAAGCUUUGCCUUUUCCUAAGGUUUAUUACCCUUUGGGAACACACCCAUUAACUCCUCAUAACAUGAAGAGUUGGCAUCCUAUUGAAAGUGGACUGACUCUGACAUGAACUCAAUGGCUGGCUCUUUGACCUCCCCCGCCUCAGAGGGAGGAGCAGCCUUGCUAAACUACAGAGGAAGACAUUGCAGUCAGUCCUGAAGAGACCUGAUAAGCUAAGCAAAAAGAUCCUGGUGAGGACUGCAAAUCCUGGAGUCCUAAUCAGCCAGUCCAUGUGAAGUUAGAGCUACGCCCUCAAGCUGGCCGAAAGAAAAGCAUCUAGGAAGACAGUGCAGGGAAGACCAGUGACUAGAAAUACAGGAGAUAUGGCCAAUCUGCUUCUCUAAGUGAAAGUCCGAUGCUCCUCCUACAUGCCACAUGUAAAAGCUAUCAGAUGGAGGCUGCAACAGAAGGUGGCAUCUGGAGCACGGUGGCAGUCGGCUCACUGUGGCGAAGGAGCAUCUUCCCUGACUGCUACCUCAGCUCGUCUACGCCAGACCCCAGGAAUGAGUCUCCUGCUUGUGAUUUAGGACGUUAUAGACAUUGAUAAAUUUUACAGAAUGUCAUGCUUAGCCCACAAGGAACUGACUGAGAAUUUCUGGAAAUCGGCGUGUCUCAUUAGAACUGUGGUGAUACUUUGGGCUAGUUUUAACCGCUAAGGUCCUACUUGCCCAUUCGGUGCCAGACUUAACAGCUGUGACUAACGGAUAAAAAACCCUUUGGGAAUGGAUUAAUUCAGUGGACCCUAGUUUCCACCAACCUAAAAGCUAAGCAUGUCAUCAGACUUCAAAUGAAGCCUGUGACAGGGGCCCUAGCUUCUCUGUGACCACCCCUGAUGUCUCCAUCAGUGUAUCUGGAAAGUGUCUUCAAUCCUGACUUUCUUUGCUGUUACUAUAAAAACUUCAUGAAACUGCUUCCAUACUGGGUCAUGGAGUUGGGGUUACCUGCAUCACUCUUCUUUGGCUCCAGAAUACAUUAUGCAUUAUCCCCUUGAGGUGAGAGCUGUUUUUGCACCAAUACUAUCCACAGGCUGAGAGGG